AUCGCCGUCUACCGGUCGGUAUAUGGUGACAGCAACCGAAAUAACUGCCAGCAAAAAGCAAAGAGAUGCCAAAGGUGAGACAUGCUGGAAAAGCUUGAUACGAAUGUGUAGGCGUAGUUUUGGAAUUCAGAGGUGCUAGCCGGCUGUUUGGAUUGCGCCAUCCAGGCAAUGUGGAUAUUCUGCCAUGUACAUGAUAAACCUAGGAUUCUUCGUCAACAUGCAAGAUGUAACCCCAUGCAAACUACUAUUGACAGAAAAGCUGAUACAUUGGGACGAUGGUUACAGCAAGUGUGAUGAAUAAAUCACCAUGGAUCAGUUGCCUUGCCUUCCCAAUUGCAACAAAGACAAAUCAUGGAGUAAAAAAAACAUUAAAAGAACGUGCUGGAAUUCAUGUCAUGCUGAAGAGGACUAAAAAAAAAAAAGUUGUAUCCAUGAAGCAGCUCAUUAGUCAUGUCCCAAACCAAUGCCUGCGUUCACAAUUUUUAUUCUGAACUGAUACCUACCAAAUUCCUUUUCCAUAAAAUGAGGUGAUAUGAGGUUAUGAAGAACAACUUGUGCUUUAUGUUCAGAGUGUUGGUGAAACUGGGUACUUAAAUGGCCCUAAAGAUGUUUCACUUUGCUGCAAUUGCAGCGAUGAACAUCA